rnacentral:misc_RNA from 1 species
UUUAAGAAAAAAAAAAAAAGGAAAUGAUCAAGAUUAGCUUUUUUUUUUUUUAAAUGAGCAAAGUACAUGUAUUUCAAUACAAACUUCAAAUUGAUCAGAUAGAAAAACUUCAAUCAGGAAAAAAAAAAUUGACAAUCACUAUUGCCAGGAGUUGAUCAUGGCUGUGAUCCUCAUAUGAAUUGCUUCCAAAGGAAAAUAACAUGAAAGGAUUAAUCAGAAAUCUAUUUGAUAGACAAUUAUCAUCAUCAAAUUAGCUAAUCAAAACAAAAACAAUAAAUUUCACACUCACUGUUUCUGAAUCAACAACCCAAAAGACAUAGAAAUCGAAAACAGAUUAAUU